GCGGGUUUAACUCAGUUGGGAGAGUGUCAGACUGAAGUCAAACUUCAUCAUGUAAAUCUGAAAGUCGUGUGUUCAAUCCACACAAGCCGCA
rnacentral:tRNA from 1 species